AUUGACCCUUCUCGGCAUCAAUAUCCAGGAAAAGAAACCAACAGGAAGUAAAAGUCGUAACAAGGUUUCCGUAGGUGAACCUGCGGAAGGAUCAUUAUCGUACAAUGGGGGUACGACGGCUGUCGCUGACUUUAGUUGUGCACGCCCGAGUGCUCUCACAUACAAAUAUCCAUCUCACCCCUUUGUGCAUCACCGCGUGGGUCCCCUUCCUCGGAGGGGGUGCUCACGUUUUUAACAUUAAACACCCAUUCGAACGUAGUGUAGAAUGUUUUUUUUGCGCAAUCACGCGCGAUCAAUACAACUUUCAACAACGGAUCUCUUGGCUCUCGCAUCGAUGAAGAACGCAGCGAAAUGCGAUACGUAAUGUGAAUUGCAGAAUUCAGUGAAUCAUCGAAUCUUUGAACGCACCUUGCGCCCCUUGGCAUUCCGAGGGGGCACACCCGUUUGAGUGUCGUGAACAUCCUCAACUUGCUUGGUUUUUAUUGAACCAAGUAGGCUUGGAAUUUGGAGGUUUUCUGCUGGCCUCCUCCGAAGCCAGCUCCUCUUAAAUCUAUUAGUGGGAUCCGCUUUGCUAGAUCCUCGACGUUGAUAAGAUGUUUCUACGUCUUGGGUUUCGCUCGGGAAAGGACCUGCUUCUAACCGUCCCAUCGGGGACAACGUUCGAGCCAAUCGCCCUUCACGGGGUGGGAAGCUUUUUCGACCCAUGAAACCUUGACCUCAAAUCGGGUGAGACUACCCGCUGAACUUAAGCAUAUCAAUAAGCGGAGGAAAAGAAACCAA
rnacentral:rRNA from 1 species